GUGCUCACUUUAGCAGCACAUAUGCUAAAAUUGGAACUAUACAGAAAAGAUUAGCAUGACCCCUGUGCAAGGAUGACUCAAAAAUUCAUGACAAAGCAUUUCUUUUU
rnacentral:snRNA from 1 species